UACGUAGGGUGCGAGCGUUGUCCGGAAUUAUUGGGCGUAAAGAGCUCGUAGGCGGCCAACUAAGUCAGACGUGAAAUCCCUCGGCUUAACCGGGGAACUGCGUCUGAUACUGGAUGGCUUGAGGUUGGGAGAGGGAUGCGGAAUUCCAGGUGUAGCGGUGAAAUGCGUAGAUAUCAGGAGGAACACCGGUGGCGAAGGCGGGUCUCUGGGCCGUAACUGACGCUGAGGAGCGAAAGCGUGGGGAGCGAACAGG
rnacentral:rRNA from 1 species